rnacentral:rRNA from 1 species
UACGUAGGGGGCAAGCGUUGUCCGGAAUCAUUGGGCGUAAAGCGCGUGUAGGCGGCUCGAUAAGUCUGCUGUGAAAGUCCAGGGCUCAACCCUGGGAUGCCGGUGGAUACUGUCGAGCUCGAGUCCGGAAGAGGCGAGUGGAACUCCUGGUGUAGCGGUGGAAUGCGCAGAUAUCAGGAAGAACACCAACGGCGAAGGCAGCUCGCUGGGACGGUACUGACGCUGAGACGCGAAAGCGUGGGGAGCGAACAGG